GGGGCGCCCCGGCCGAGCGGGGACACUGCUCCUAGCCGCCCCCCCCGGCUGGUCUCCUCCCUGCAGGAGCGGACGCCGCCGAGGGGGCCCGCGAGCCGGGGCUCUGCGUCCCGCGGCGCGGCCGGGCGGGGGGCGCACCUCCCGUCCCCUCCCCUCCCUCCCUCCUUCCCCCCCUCCCCCUCCCCCUCCCCCUCCCCGGUACCUGGGGGCGGCGGCGCCGGGGCCCGGAGGCCUGCUGCUCCUCCUCCCCGCCAGGCUGAGGCGGCGGCGGCGGCGGCGGCGGCCCGGGGGGAGGGGGCGGAGCGCGGGCCCGCCGCCUCUCUCCUCCCCGGGAGCCGGGGGCCCCUACCUGGGGCCGCCGCGCCCGGGCCCGUGGGCGGCCUGCGGCCGGGGCAUGGCGUGCCCGCGAGGGGCGCGAGCGCGAGGCGGCGGCGGCGGCGGCGGCGCAGCCCCCGGGGCGCCCGGCGGGAGGGCCGGCGGCGGCGGCUCGCGGGCGCCCGGCGGGGCGGGGCGGGGGAGGGAAGGGGAGUGAGGGGAGGGGAGGGGGCGGCCGGGAGGGGGCCGGCGCCGCGGCCGCUGCCGCUCCGCUCGCUCCAGCCUGCUCGGGGGCACUUUGUUUGUGUCCCACAAUGCCGUGCGCGGGCGGCCGGGCUGGGACCGCGAGGGGAGUGGGCGGGGCGGGGCGAGCCGGGGGCGGGGCGCCGGCGCGGUGGGGGCGGGGCGGGCGCGGCCAGUGCGCAGGCGCCGCGGAGGCCGCUCCCGCUCCGGCUCCCGCUCCGGCUCCCGCUCCCGCUCGCGUUGCCGCUGCCCCUGCCCGGGCCGGAGCGGCGGCCGGCGGGCCCGGCUCUCCCCUCCCGCGGGCGUGUGCGCGCCGGUGUCUGUGCGUGUGCACGCGGCCUUCCGCUCGGCGCCCUCUCCGCCAGCCCCUCCGCGCUUACACUAACGGAGGCAUUGCUUCCUUUUUUUAAUAUUUUAUUUAUUUGGUCGUCAGAGACGCAGGCAGAGGGAGAAGCAGGCUCCACGCAGGGAGCCCAGUGCGGGGCUCGAUCCCGGGACUCCAGGGUCACGCCCUGGGCCGAAGGCAGGUGCUCAACCGCUGAGCCACCCGGGCGUCCCUAA
rnacentral:lncRNA from 1 species